rnacentral:rRNA from 2 species
GACGAACGCUGGCGGCGUGCCUAAUACAUGCAAGUCGAACGAACUCUGGUAUUGAUUGGUGCUUGCAUCAUGAUUUACAUUUGAGUGAGUGGCGAACUGGUGAGUAACACGUGGGAAACCUGCCCAGAAGCGGGGGAUAACACCUGGAAACAGAUGCUAAUACCGCAUAACAACUUGGACCGCAGGGUCCGAGUUUGAAAGAUGGCUUCGGCUAUCACUUUUGGAUGGUCCCGCGGCGUAUUAGCUAGAUGGUGGGGUAACGGCUCACCAUGGCAAUGAUACGUAGCCGACCUGAGAGGGUAAUCGGCCACAUUGGGACUGAGACACGGCCCAAACUCCUACGGGAGGCAGCAGUAGGGAAUCUUCCACAAUGGACGAAAGUCUGAUGGAGCAACGCCGCGUGAGUGAAGAAGGGUUUCGGCUCGUAAAACUCUGUUGUUAAAGAAGAACAUAUCUGAGAGUAACUGUUCAGGUAUUGACGGUAUUUAACCAGAAAGCCACGGCUAACUACGUGCCAGCAGCCGCGGUAAUACGUAGGUGGCAAGCGUUGUCCGGAUUUAUUGGGCGUAAAGCGAGCGCAGGCGGUUUUUUAAGUCUGAUGUGAAAGCCUUCGGCUCAACCGAAGAAGUGCAUCGGAAACUGGGAAACUUGAGUGCAGAAGAGGACAGUGGAACUCCAUGUGUAGCGGUGAAAUGCGUAGAUAUAUGGAAGAACACCAGUGGCGAAGGCGGCUGUCUGGUCUGUAACUGACGCUGAGGCUCGAAAGUAUGGGUAGCAAACAGGAUUAGAUACCCUGGUAGUCCAUACCGUAAACGAUGAAUGCUAAGUGUUGGAGGGUUUCCGCCCUUCAGUGCUGCAGCUAACGCAUUAAGCAUUCCGCCUGGGGAGUACGGCCGCAAGGCUGAAACUCAAAGGAAUUGACGGGGGCCCGCACAAGCGGUGGAGCAUGUGGUUUAAUUCGAAGCUACGCGAAGAACCUUACCAGGUCUUGACAUACUAUGCAAAUCUAAGAGAUUAGACGUUCCCUUCGGGGACAUGGAUACAGGUGGUGCAUGGUUGUCGUCAGCUCGUGUCGUGAGAUGUUGGGUUAAGUCCCGCAACGAGCGCAACCCUUAUUAUCAGUUGCCAGCAUUAAGUUGGGCACUCUGGUGAGACUGCCGGUGACAAACCGGAGGAAGGUGGGGAUGACGUCAAAUCAUCAUGCCCCUUAUGACCUGGGCUACACACGUGCUACAAUGGAUGGUACAACGAGUUGCGAACUCGCGAGAGUAAGCUAAUCUCUUAAAGCCAUUCUCAGUUCGGAUUGUAGGCUGCAACUCGCCUACAUGAAGUCGGAAUCGCUAGUAAUCGCGGAUCAGCAUGCCGCGGUGAAUACGUUCCCGGGCCUUGUACACACCGCCCGUCACACCAUGAGAGUUUGUAACACCCAAAGUCGGUGGGGUAACCUUUUAGGAACCAGCCGCCUAAGGUGGGACAGAUGAUUAGGGUG